rnacentral:lncRNA from 1 species
GAGCCCUAAUUUUUUAAAGUGUUCUCCUGUCAAGAGACUAUUUAAAGUACAGGUUUUAUAGAUACUUUCCUUUUAAAUAGAUUUCUCUUAGCUAAUCAGAUGCUGAGCGGCGUUGCCUUUAAUUUUAUCUGGCCAAGCUUCCCUCCAUCUGUUUUCCCAUAAUGCUCUCAUUCCCUCUUCCAGAUGUUUGGCACAGCAUCUCAACUUGAUGUCUAUUUCUUCUUGUUCUCCUUCACCUCACAUGAACCUUCCAAGUCAUAAUUCUUUGGAAAUAGACACAAGGAGCCUUAUUUCAAAUUACCAUCCUUUACUUAAGAGGUUCCAUCUCUAAGCAUAUCAGCAAUCAUGGUGACGCGCCACUCUGCUGGUAAUUCAUAUGGCUUAUUCAGAAGCACAGACCAUGGUUGUUAGACCUGCCAGAUGUUCCCGGUCCUUAGCUGCAAUUAAGUUCCAACACAGCCCAAUUUGAAAGAGAUUGAGAAACCACAGUUUUCAUUAAGAAUAUUCAUGAGUUUGCACCUUGAAAAGCCAGCAGUUACAUGAUGUGCCAGAAUGGACAAGAUCCUUUGAGAAGAGAGAGAGAGGAAAAGAUGCAAUUUAAAAUAAGUUACCAGGUUUUGAAAGUUUCCACAUGGACCAUUUUUAAGCUGCAUCUCAUGGGAUUUUAGACCCUGAAGUGUCAUAUCUAAUUGUUAUCUUUUCAUGUUCAUGUCUUCAGUAAUCAUCUAGAAGUGAUAUUAUGGACUGGCACUCAGAGGCGGUGUGAACUGUGAAAAUCUACAUUCUAAAAUCUUCUCAAAUCUUUUUUGCUAUCCUUCCCAUUUGUAUCACAUCAUCUGGGGUAUAGAAAGUGUGAAACUUUUUAGUUUUAUAUACCUUGAAGAAUUGAAACCAACCGGAGAGUGACUAUAAUAAGGAACAUUAUGGAGUUGUAUGUUAUUAUGUUUACAUGUCUAUUUGUAAAGUUCUGCCCAGUUCAGAACUGAGAAGUAGAAACUUCUUUUAUUUAAUCUAGAAAAGGAGUGACAGUAAAUUUGUCAGUGUAUCGCUAUUUGUUUUCUGAACUUGGAUAAGUACAGAAGAAAUCAAAGCAAUGUCAAUUUUAAAAAAUAAGAGAAC